AAUGGAGGGUGAAGAAAGCGGAGUCUGUGGAGUGAGGCUCCGCUGAUACUGCCCUCCUAUAGGAAAUGUAUGGUCAGAGAGCAGCCGUGCUACCAGGCAGAGUGGGGGCUGUCUGCGCCAUCCGACAUCC